AACGAACGCUGGCGGCAUGCCUAACACAUGCAAGUCGAACGCUCCGCAAGGGGAGUGGCGCACGGGUGAGUAACACGUGGGAACCUGCCUAUUGGUUCGGAACAACAUUUGGAAACGAACGCUAAUACCGGAUAUCCCCCGAGGGGGAAAGUUUUAUCGCCAAUAGAGGGGCCCGCGUCCGAUUAGGUAGUUGGUGGGGUAAAGGCCUACCAAGCCGACGAUCGGUGGCUGGUCUGAGAGGAUGAUCAGCCACACUGGGACUGAGACACGGCCCAGACUCCUACGGGAGGCAGCAGUGGGGAAUAUUGGACAAUGGGCGGAAGCCUGAUCCAGCAAUGCCGCGUGAGUGAUGAAGGCCUUGGGGUUGUAAAGCUCUUUCGCACGUGACGAUGAUGACGGUAACGUGAGAAGAAGCCCCGGCUAACUUCGUGCCAGCAGCCGCCGUAA
rnacentral:rRNA from 1 species